rnacentral:rRNA from 1 species
CCUACGGGGGCUGCAGUGGGGAAUUUUGGACAAUGGGCGCAAGCCUGAUCCAACCAUUCCGCGUGCAGGACGAAGGCCUUCGGGUUGUAAACUGCUUUUGUACGGAACGAAAAGGCCUCGGUCAAUACCCGGGGUUCAUGACGGUACCGUAAGAAUAAGCACCGGCUAACUACGUGCCAGCAGCCGCGGUAAUACGUAGGGUGCGAGCGUUAAUCGGAAUUGCUGGGGGUAAAUCGUACGCCGGCGGUCUAAUCCCCGGGCUCAACCUGGGAACGGCCAUUGUGACUGCAAGGCUGGAGUACGGCAGAGGGGGAUGGAAUUCCGCGUGUAGCAGUGAAAUGCGUAGAUAUGCGGAGGAACACCGAUGGCGAAGGCAGUCCCCUGGGCCUGUACUGACGCUCAUGCACGAAAGCGUGGGGAGCAAACAGGAUUAGAUACCCGUGUAGUC